UUUAAGGUCUAAUCUGCCCAAUGAGGGAUUAAAUGGCCGCGGUACUUUGACCGUGCAAAGGUAGCAUAAUAAUUAGUUUUUUAAUUGAAAGCUGGAAUGAAUGAUUGAACGAGAAAAUAGCUGUCUCAAUUUGAUUUAAUUAGAAUUUUAUUUUUAAGUAAAAAAGCUUAGAUUUUUUUGAAAGACGAGAAGACCCUAUAGAGUUUUAUAAUUUUGUUAUAAUUAAUUAUUUAGUUUUAUUAAUUUAAUUUUAAUGGAAUUAUUUCAUUGGGGUGAUGGAAAAAUUUAAUUAACUUUUUUUUUUAUUUUCAUGAAUUAAUGUUUUGAUGAUCCGAUAAUUUCGAUUAUAAGAUUAAAUUACCUUAGGGAUAACAGCGUAAUUAUUUUUUAGAGUUCUUAUCGAAAAAAUAGAUUGCGACCUCGAUGUUGGAUUAAAAUAAAUAUUUGGUGUAGGGGCUAAAUAAUUGGGUCUGUUCGACCCUUAAAAUUUUACA
rnacentral:rRNA from 1 species